ACGCUGGCGGCAGGCCUAACACAUGCAAGUCGAGCGGAUGAAGAGAGCUUGCUCUCUGAUUCAGCGGCGGACGGGUGAGUAAUGCCUAGGAAUCUGCCUGGUAGUGGGGGACAACGUCUCGAAAGGGACGCUAAUACCGCAUACGUCCUACGGGAGAAAGCAGGGGACCUUCGGGCCUUGCGCUAUCAGAUGAGCCUAGGUCGGAUUAGCUAGUUGGUGAGGUAAUGGCUCACCAAGGCGACGAUCCGUAACUGGUCUGAGAGGAUGAUCAGUCACACUGGAACUGAGACACGGUCCAGACUCCUACGGGAGGCAGCAGUGGGGAAUAUUGGACAAUGGGCGAAAGCCUGAUCCAGCCAUGCCGCGUGUGUGAAGAAGGUCUUCGGAUUGUAAAGCACUUUAAGUUGGGAGGAAGGGCAGUARCUUAAUACGCUGCUGUUUUGACGUUACCGACAGAAUAAGCACCGGCUAACUCUGUGCCAGCAGCCGCGGUAAUACAGAGGGUGCAAGCGUUAAUCGGAAUUACUGGGCGUAAAGCGCGCGUAGGUGGUUUGUUAAGUUGGAUGUGAAAGCCCCGGGCUCAACCUGGGAACUGCAUUCAAAACUGACAAGCUAGAGUAUGGUAGAGGGUGGUGGAAUUUCCUGUGUAGCGGUGAAAUGCGUAGAUAUAGGAAGGAACACCAGUGGCGAAGGCGACCACCUGGACUGAUACUGACACUGAGGUGCGAAAGCGUGGGGAGCAACAGGAUUAGAUACCCUGGUAGUCCACGCCGUAAACGAUGUCAACUAGCCGUUGGGAGCCUUGAGCUCUUAGUGGCGCAGCUAACGCAUUAAGUUGACCGCCUGGGGAGUACGGCCGCAAGGUUAAAACUCAAAUGAAUUGACGGGGGCCCGCACAAGCGGUGGAGCAUGUGGUUUAAUUCGAAGCAACGCGAAGAACCUUACCAGGCCUUGACAUCCAAUGAACUUUCCAGAGAUGGAUUGGUGCCUUCGGGAACAUUGAGACAGGUGCUGCAUGGCUGUCGUCAGCUCGUGUCGUGAGAUGUUGGGUUAAGUCCCGUAACGAGCGCAACCCUUGUCCUUAGUUACCAGCACAUAAUGGUGGGCACUCUAAGGAGACUGCCGGUGACAAACCGGAGGAAGGUGGGGAUGACGUCAAGUCAUCAUGGCCCUUACGGCCUGGGCUACACACGUGCUACAAUGGUCGGUACAGAGGGUUGCCAAGCCGCGAGGUGGAGCUAAUCCCACAAAACCGAUCGUAGUCCGGAUCGCAGUCUGCAACUCGACUGCGUGAAGUCGGAAUCGCUAGUAAUCGCGAAUCAGAAUGUCGCGGUGAAUACGUUCCCGGGCCUUGUACACACCGCCCGUCACACCAUGGGAGUGGGUUGCACCAGAAGUAGCUAGUCUAACCUUCGGGAGGACGGUUACCACGGUGUGAUUCAUGACUGGGGUG
rnacentral:rRNA from 1 species